rnacentral:rRNA from 1 species
UGGGGAAUAUUGGACAAUGGGCGCAAGCCUGAUCCAGCCAUGCCGCGUGAGUGAUGAAGGCCCUAGGGUUGUAAAGCUCUUUCACCGGUGAAGAUAAUGACGGUAACCGGAGAAGAAGCUCCGGCUAACCUCGUGCCAGCAGCCGCGGUAAUACGAAGGGGGCUAGCGUUGUUCGGAUUUACUGGGCGUAAAGCGCACGUAGGCGGACUUUUAAGUCAGGGGUGAAAUCCCGGGGCUCAACCCCGGAACUACCUUUGAUACUGGAAGUCUUGAGUAUGGUAGAGGUGAGUGGAAUUCCGAGUGUAGAGGUGAAAUUCGUAGAUAUUCGGAGGAACACCAGUGGCGAGGGCGGCUCACUGGACCAUUACUGACGCUGAGGUGCGAAAGCGUGGGGAGCAAACAGG